AUGAAUCAUUCAAUCACAGAUCCAACCCGGGACCAAUGCUCUGUAUUACUAGUCACGUGAUCUAAUCACUGAGCUACCCAGACCACAGAAAAGGUGAAGAUAACGAACAGUGACCAAUCUCAUAACUCCUAUAAAGAAUACAAAACCAAGAGUAGGGCGAACACUGAUCUAUGUACACAUCAGAGGUGAGACCAAUAUAUUAGGAGGAGUAAGCAUCC